rnacentral:rRNA from 1 species
UUUUUUGAGAGUUUGAUCCUAGCUCAGGAUGAACGCUGGCGGCGUGGAUACCGGCAUGCAAGUCAAGGGGGUCAAAUUGACGCAAGUUGAUUUGGCAACCGGCAGACGGCUUAGUAACACGUAGAUACCAACCCCAUUCACGGGCACAACCAGUCGAAAGAUUGGUUAAUUCCCGAUAGUCCCGCAAGGGUAAAGGCGCAAGCCGGAAUGGGAUGGGUCUGCGGCCUAUCAGCUAGUUGGUGGGGUAAAGGCCUACCAAGGCUAUGACGGGUAGGGGACGUGAGAGCGUGUUCCCCAAGAAUGGCACUGCGAUACGGGCCAUACUCCUACGGGAGGCUGCAGUCGAGAAUCUUCGACAAUGGGCGAAAGCCUGAUCGAGCGACGCCGCGUG